rnacentral:misc_RNA from 1 species
AGGAAAUUAAGUUUCUUUACCAGCAAUUAAAACACCCAAGAAGUUUUAUAUGUACUUCUUCUAAUGAGAAGGGAAAUGGUUGAAGCUAUAUUGUAUUAACUGCUUCCUAUAACAAAGUGGGAGUUUAUCCUUCUUGCCCCUUAAUUCCUCCCAUAUUGGGUGUGCUGGGUUCUUUCCCUCCUCACUUUGGACAUAACAAGCUAUUUUAACACAUGAGAACUAUGAUUAAGAAC